rnacentral:lncRNA from 1 species
GACCCCGGCCUCAUUGUCGGUGGAUCCGGCCGCCCGGAGGCGAGGGGAGACCGGCUAUCACCCUCUCUACUCUUCUCCUUCUACGUCCGGCACCGCUACAACGACGGCCGCGCGGAUCGCGUGAGGCAACGGAUCGGCGGAGGCCUGCAACAACAACGGCCGCGCGGGCGAGCAAUCGAGGAGGCCGGGAAUCACCAGAUCCGGAAGGACGGCGGCCCGAUUCGGAGAGGGAGCAACCCGAUCUGUGUCAUUGAGGCUCAUUGUAAGUGUCGACGGCGGCCGUUCCUUCACAGUGAUCCAGGGUCGUUGGGUCUGUUGAGCUCGGUAUCGACGGCAGCAGUAGCUCGGGCAAGAUGGAAGAAACGUGUUAGACACGGCCUCCUCCGAGAGCAUACACCAGCGACGUGCAGGAGGCCGAGGCCAAAGCCGAUCUUCCCCAACCCCAUCUGGCAUUAUAACUUCGAGAAGGUCAGCCUGAUGGUGCAGAACUCUGGCUUGAGGAAGACAUGCUUCAGUGUUUCUCCAUGCACCGACAACACUAUCAUCCUGCCACCACAACACACAAAUCUGGCGAUGCUUCCACCUGCAUCUGCAUGCCCCUGGCUCCCUGCAUACAAGUUAAUUAAAGAUGCACAUGAGAAAGGCUCGAUUAUGCCUGGUGUUAUGAUGAGUGAGCAAACAUGGAUGGUGAUGAGCUUGAUUUUUGGGGGGAUGGGGCUCCAUGAGCCUGCUAUGAGUGAAGCCAUCGUCCAAUGAUCUCUAAUGAAUUUUCAUUAGUAUUCCCCACAAAAAAUUGAGGUGUUUGUUCCGUCAGUGUCCUACCUAGAUAGUGUUUGUUGUUUUCCGUACACGCAUGGGGAUGUGGCUCCGCUAUAUUUCCGUACGCCAGCAUGACCUUUUGGUGUGUAUGCCUGAACAGUUUGUGGGGCUUCGUUUUUGGAUCCUAGCUUGCACUUAAUUUGCUUUUAAACAUUUGACCCCCACCUAAAUGUGAGCAGAUAGAUAUCCAU